AGCGAACGCUGGCGGUAGGCCUAACACAUGCAAGUCGAACGGAUCCUUCGGGAUUAGUGGCGGACGGGUGAGUAACACGUGGGAACGUGCCCUUUGGUUCGGAACAACUCAGGGAAACUUGAGCUAAUACCGGAUAAGCCCUUCGGGGGAAAGAUUUAUCGCCAUUGGAGCGGCCUGCGUAGGAUUAGCUAGUCGGUGGG
rnacentral:rRNA from 1 species